AUUACCUACGGGGGGCAGCAGUGGGGAAUAUUGCACAAUGGAGGGAACUCUGAUGCAGCGACGCCGCGUGAGUGAAGAAGUAAUUCGUUAUGUAAAGCUCUAUCAGCAGGGAAGAAAGUGACGGUACCUGAAAAAGAAGCUCCGGCUAAAUACGUGCCAGCAGCCGCGGUAAUACGUAGGUGGCAAGCGUUGUCCGGAUUUACUGGGUGUAAAGGGCGUGCAGCCGGAGAGACAAGUCAGAUGUGAAAUCCGCGGGCUCAACCCGCGAACUGCAUUUGAAACUGUUUCCCUUGAGUAUCGGAGAG
rnacentral:rRNA from 1 species